rnacentral:misc_RNA from 1 species
GAACGCAUAUUGCGCUCUUUGGUAUUCCGAAGAGCAUGCUUGUUUGAGUAUCAGUAAACACCUCAAAGACAUUUCUGAUUUAUUUCUGGAAUGACUUUGGACUUGAGCAAUCCCAACACCAGUCGUUUACGAUCGGCGGAGGGUUGCUUGAAAUGCAGGUGCAGCUGGACAUUCUCCUGAGCUAUAAGCAUAUCUAUUUAGUCCCGUCAAACGGAUUAUUACUUUUGCUGCAGCUAACAUAAAGGGAGUCUGACCGUAUUGGCUGACUGAUGCAGGAUUUCACAGGGGUUGGAAACGACUCUUGUAAAACUCGAUCUCAAAUCAAGUAAGACUACCCGCUGAACUUAAG